UACCUGCUAGUACGAGAUUGUUCGUGUGUCGAAAUAAGCUCGUCGCUACAGGCAGA
rnacentral:pre_miRNA from 1 species